AGAUGGAUCAUUCACAUAAUGACCAAGUCAUUCAUGUAACUUGCAUACGUAUGCAUGCAUGCAUGCAGUCCUGAGCCAAACGAACUUAAAGCAAUUGGUAAUCACUUCAAUUCCAUGAGUAAUAAUUAAUUCACAACUUUCAGCGAUGGAUGUCUCGGAUCUCGUAACGAUGAAGGACGCAGCUAGCUGCGAUACGCAGUGUGACUUGCAAACUUCUGAGAAUCAUUAGAUUUUUGAACGCAAAAGGCACUUCUAGGCUCUGCUUAGGAGUAUGCUCACUUCAGUGCUUUAUAUGUUUGUUGUUUUAAUUGGUAGACAACGUGGAUAGUUGCUGUUCUUACGGCCGCUGAAAUCGAAUGGUCUUGCCUCUUUGGUGAAUCCUUAGAGAAAACGACCAAGUUGACUUUCAAACAAGCCUGAAUUUGAGCAAGGCUACCCGCUGAAUUUAAGCAUAUUAUUAAGCGGAGGAAAAGAAACUAACUAGGAUUCCCUUAGUAACGGCGAGUGAACAGGGAAGAGCUCAAACUGAAAAUCGGCAGCUUGCUGUUGAAUUGUAGUCUCACGAAGUGCAGCCUGUGUUUGUUCUAGGCUAAGUCUCUUGGAAAAGAGUACCAGAGAGGGUGAGAGUCCCGUCUUUGCUUAGAGACAUUCAUGUUCGGUGCAUUUUCAAAGAGUCGCGUUCCUUGAGAUUGGAGCGCUAAGUGGGUGAUAAAUUUCAUCUAAGGCUAAAUACUAACGAGAUUCCGAUAGCAUACAAGUACCGUGAGGGAAAGAUGAAAAGGACUUUGGAAAGAGAGUUAAAAGGAACUGAAAUUGCUGAAAGGUAAGGGGAGAGUCUCAACUGUCUAGCAGUUCUUGGUGCUUGUCAGAUUCGCUCCAGUUUCUGUAUGAACACUAGAGUUUUGCGGUGACUCUGGAAGUAGUUGAUCUUAUUGAGCAAAGUAUUGAUGUGUCCCUUUCGGGUUCACUUGUUUGCUGUUUUCAAUUCGAACGACUUUGAUGCUAUUGCUACACUCUUGUGGUUGCAAUAUAGUAUUCCAGAGAUGUUGUUUCUCUCCCUCCCGUCUUGAAACACGGACCAAGGAGUCUAACUUAUGUGCGAGUACAAGGGUGAAAAACCCACGUGCGAAAUGAAAGUAAUUGUCAGGAAGGGCAACCUGCACUGACGCCCGGCUAACAAGCUGAGGCUGAGCAUAUAGGUUAGGACCCGAAAGAUGGUGAACUAUGCCUGAGUAGGGUGAAGCCAGAGGAAACUCUGGUGGAAGCUCGUAGCGAUACUGACGUGCAAAUCGUUCGUCAAACUUGGGUAUAGGGGCGAAAGACUAAUCGAACCAUCUAGUAGCUGGUUCCCUC
rnacentral:misc_RNA from 1 species